GCGCCCAUAGCCCAAUUGGAUAGAGCGUCUGGCUACGGACCAGAAGGUUGGGGGUUCGAAUCCUCCUGGGCGUA
rnacentral:tRNA from 1 species